CUUGGCGACCAUAGCGUUGUGGACCCACCUGAUCCCAUGCCGAACUCAGUAGUGAAACGCAACAGCGCCGAUGGUAGUGUGGGGUCUCCCCAUGUGAGAGUAGGACAUCGCCAGGC
rfam:Enterovibrio coralii strain CAIM 912 contig00073, whole genome shotgun sequence.